GGCCCCCCAGUUGGGCCAGUUGGGAAUCUUCCACAAUGGGCGCAAGCCUGAUGGAGCAACACCGCGUGAGUGAAGAAGGGUUUCGGCUCGUAAAGCUCUGUUGUUGGAGAAGAACGUGCGUGAGAGUAACUGUUCACGCAGUGACGGUAUCCAACCAGAAAGUCACGGCUAACUACGUGCCAGCAGCCGCGGUAAUACGUAGGUGGCAAGCGUUAUCCGGAUUUAUUGGGCGUAAAGCGAGCGCAGGCGGUUGCUUAGGUCUGAUGUGAAAGCCUUCGGCUUAACCGAAGAAGGGCAUCGGAAACCGGGCGACUUGAGUGCAGAAGAGGACAGUGGAACUCCAUGUGUAGCGGUGGAAUGCGUAGAUAUAUGGAAGAACACCAGUGGCGAAGGCGGCUGUCUGGUCUGCAACUGACGCUGAGGCUCGAAAGCAUGGGUAGCGAACAGGAUUAGAUACCCUGGUAGUCCAUGCCGUAAACGAUGAGUGCUAGGUGUUGGAGGGUUUCCGCCCUUCAGUGCCGGAGCUAACGCAUAAGCACUCCGCCUGGGAGUCACG
rnacentral:rRNA from 2 species